GCCUACGGGAGGCAGCAGUGGGGAAUUUUGCGCAAUGGGGGAAACCCUGACGCAGCAACGCCGCGUGAGUGAUGAAGGCCUUCGGGUCGUAAAGCUCUGUCAGAGGGAAAGAAGUGUGGGGCGGCUAAUACCCGUUUCACUUGACGGUACCCUCAAAGGAAGCACCGGCUAACUCCGUGCCAGCAGCCGCGGUC
rnacentral:rRNA from 1 species